GCUGCUAUGGUGAAAUGGUAGACACAUAACUUUCAAAAAGUUACAGAGAAAUCUAUAUCGGUUCAACUCCGAUUAGCAGUA
rnacentral:tRNA from 1 species